GACGAACGCUGGCGGCGUGCUUAACACAUGCAAGUCGAACGGCAAGGCCCUGCUUUUGUGGGGUUCCCGAGUGGCGAAAGCGUGAGUAACACGUGAGUAACCUGCCCUUGUCUUUGGGGGAACUUAAGGAAACUGGAGCUAAUAUAGGACAGGAGCUCAUGCAGCAUGGUGGGGGUGGGAAAGUUUCGGCGGUUGGGGAUGGACUCGCGGCUUACCGGCUUGUUGGUGGGGUGGUGGCUUACCAAGGCUGGGACGGGUAGCCGGCCUGGGAGGGUGACCGGGCCCAUUGGGACUGAGGUACGGCCCAGAGGCCAACAUGAGGCAGCGGUGGGGAAUAUGGCACAAUGGGCGGAAGCCGGAUGCAGCGACGCCGGGUGCGGGAAGACGGCCUUCGGGUAAUAAACCGCAGUCGCCUGGGACGAAGCGUGAGUGACGGUAAUGAGUAAAGAAGCACCGGCUAACUACGUG
rnacentral:rRNA from 1 species